rnacentral:rRNA from 1 species
GUGACUCGCGUGACAGGGUGUGGGGGAUGACGGGGGGUGCAAGCGUUUUCCGGAUUGAUUGGGUUUAAAGGGUCCUUAGGCGGGCUUAUAAGUCAGUGGUGAAAGCCGGCAGCUUAACUGUCGAACUGCCAUUGAUACUGUAAGUCUUGAGUGUAUUUGAAGUGGCUGGAAUAAGUAGUGUAGCGGUGAAAUGCAUAGAUAUUACUUAGAACACCAAUUGCGAAGGCAUGUCACUAAGAUACAACUGACGCUGAUGGACGAAAGCGUGGGGAGCGAACAGGAUUAGAUACCCGAGUAGUC